CUGCACUGGGAGCAGCUCUUCUGCCACAGCUCCUCACCUGCUGAAAAUGUAUGCUUGCUCCAAGUUCGUCUCCACUCCCUCCUUGGUCAAGAGCACCUCACAGCUGCUGAGCCAUCCACUAUCCUCAGUGGUGCUGAAACAGCCGGAGACACUGACAGAUGAGAGUCUCAGCAGCUUGGCAGUCUCACGUCUCCUUACCUCACUUGUCCCUAGCCACAGCUUCCAAACCUGCACCAUUUCAAGGGAAAUCACAACAGCCAAGUUCAUUGGGGCUGGGGCUGCCGUCAUUGGCGUGGCUGGCUCUGGGGCUGGGAUUGGGACUGUGUUUGGGAGACUUAUCAUUGGUUAUGCCAGGGACAUUUCUCUGAAGCGGCAGCUCUUCUCCUACACCCUUCUGGGAGGCCUUGGAGCUCUUUUGCCUGAUGGUGGCCUUUCUCAUCCUCUUUGCCUUGUGA